rnacentral:rRNA from 1 species
UACGUAGGGUGCGAGCGUUAAUCGGAAUUACUGGGCGUAAAGCGUGCGCAGGCGGUUUUCCAAGACAGAUGUGAAAUCCCCGGGCUCCAACCUGGGAACUGCGUUUGUGACUGUAUGACUAGAGUACGGUAGAGAGGGGUGGAAUUCCUGGUGUAGCAGUGAAAUGCGUAGAUAUCAGGAGGAACAUCGAUGGCGAAGGCAGCCCCUUGGACCUGUACUGACGCUCAUGCACGAAAGCGUGGG